rnacentral:sRNA from 2 species
UAUUCUGCCCCAUGGGGAAGGAUGAGAAGCUUCGACUAAGGUUCGACUCGAGCGAAGCGAG